UUAAUUUUUAAGGUUUCUUUAUUAAAUACUUUCUUAUAUAUAAAAAUUAAUUCAGUUUAGUUCCACACAACUGGCAGGUUAAAAUCUAGUUAUUAAUAUGUAAUUCAUAAAAGUAUACAUAUGCAUGAGUGAACAAGUAGAGAUUUAAACCUUCCCUUAUUAGUGUUUCUGUGUCAUUCUUGUCAAGAUGGACACAAAAUACACUAAUUCAGUGUCUCUAGACACAUUAUUCUUGUCCAUGUCUCUUCUAUCAAAUACGAUUUUAUGUCUCUGUAUCCCUGUUUCUGUAAACAAACGCAGCCUUAGUGUCAUCGAGCUAAUAAUUCAAUUAGCUAAUAAUACACGAAUAUUUGAUAUUAUGAAAUAAGGAAGGACCAAAUAUUGUAUGAGUGGAAAUAAUUUGUUUCCUUUUUUUGGCAGAUUAGAUCGGGUAGGAUCAGGUUGAGAGGUUUAGGAUGUGAGUUAGUCGAAUUGAGGGAUUUAAACCUGCAGGUAGGUUAGGGUGGGAUUUAAAUCCUACCCUAUCCUACCCCACUCAUUGUCACGCCUACAUAGCCACACUAAAAAUAAACCUAAAUACAUAGAUAACAGAUAAAAAUGCAAAACUAUUUCUAACUUCUAGUCAUUAUGAUAAUACUUCUUACAUCACCCACCUCUUUAAUCUUCUAAAGAUGUUGGUUACCAAAUUUGUCCUUCAAUAUUUGAAAAUGUCAACACAAUAAUCCCUCAAA